CACGUAGGGCGCGAGCGUUGUCCGGAAUUAUUGGGCGUAAAGAGCUCGUAGGCGGCCUGUUGCGUCCGCUGUGAAAGCCCGGGGCUUAACCCCGGGUCGGCAGUGGAUACGGGCAGGCUAGAGGUAGGCAGGGGAGAAUGGAAUUCCCGGUGUAGCGGUGAAAUGCGCAGAUAUCGGGAGGAACACCGGUGGCGAAGGCGGUUCUCUGGGCCUUACCUGACGCUGAGGAGCGAAAGCGUGGGGAGCGAACAGG
rnacentral:rRNA from 1 species